rnacentral:lncRNA from 1 species
AAAAUACAAUUUAAAAAAAUUGUGCCACGUAGGACGUCCAGUCAGGAGCCCCGACGAACAGGAGCGCACCGCGUGGCAAGGGACGUUAACGCGGUACCACGCGGGCGAUCCGCGUGCCCGCAAUCAGACAGUCCAGAUUCAUUCUCGCACGCACGGACGGUCCGGAUUCGUUUUCUCUCUAGACGCGAUUAGACAAUUAAAUUUAAAUGCGAGAAACGAUCCAAAUCCGCUUCUUAUUUAAACGCGAUCGGAUGGUCCAGAUUAAAUCGCGAUGAACUGCUCAGAUUCACUCCCUAGUUAAUUGAGAUCAGAUAGUCCAUAUCAAACAUGAUAGACGACC